GUGGUCUUUCCUGUGUGCAGAAGGGAACUGUUAAGGACCCCAUCUGGUUUGGACAGAGAGACGAUAACCACCAUUUACCUCGGGUGGCCCUUAGGAGAAUGAACACUAUAAGCUGCUGAAUGCAGAGGACUCCAAAGACCAAGAAAAGGGUGAAGCCAUAAGAUGGAAGACACAUUUCCUGAAUGACACAUGGAAAGCAGCCUGUCAACCAGGAACACUUAGUAUGACUUCUUAUGACACUUUGCUGGACAAAAAGGAAAAAUAUCUGGGUGGGAGAGAUUGUGGGGGGCCCGUUAAGCCCGCAUUCUGCUACUGGAUUUAGUCGAAAAUACCAAGCUGUUUUCAAGAAGUCUGGAUUAAACUGACUCCCUC